UAGCCAGCUAAUCCAGGUUAAAGACCAGAUCUGAGGCAGUCUCUAUUAGACCAGGGCAGCAUAUCGCCAGUCCAGCAGCAUUUCCAGGCAGCUGAAGCACGCAUUUAUUAGCCUUGCAAGUUAUAGAUUUUUUUUUUUGGUCUGCAGAUCCCAAGCUAGUAGAGGGGAAAGGAGAAAGCAACUCUCAGCAUUGUAUCAGUGGUUGGCCAAGACUGAAUAAGAAGUUAGCAGACCAUAAGAAAAAUUUACCUGUCAUCAAAUCUAUUUGCAACCAUCUCCUCUGGCAAGAAAAAACACAAAAUGCAAGAAUGCAACCAGAAAUUAAAGCCUCUAUUUGUAUGGGAUCUUCUUGAGGACAGAAUGGCAAAACUGAAUCCUUUAAGACCAUAAGUUGAAGGCAUGAAGAGUAAGAAGUCAGGUUCAGCUUCCAGGUCUCUGGGAGGCAAACACAUCCUUGUUCUUCAAGAACCAGGUCAAAGAUUGCCUACUCUGUGAAAACUUCUCUGAUAAGACGAGGCUAACCCAGUUACGGGUAUUUUCAGAAUUCUCACGACUGUUUAUUUAGUGAAAUGUUUACCCCAGAGAAUUGCAUGUUAUGUUUCUGGAUUUCAACAAAACAGUUCAUAAUAGACUGAAAUGUGUAGAGAGGAAGCAAAUGUCUUUUUUGUUUUGGACAUUUGCUAGAUGAAGCAAUGAAUGAAUGAAUGAAUGAGUAUCACAGGCUUGCUUGGGUUUCAGUAAAUUCAUACAAUUGAUAUGUGUACUUUGUGUUAAAAUUGUUGAAACUCAUACUAAAGGCGGGCGGUAAAAGAACAUUAAUUAAACUGCUUGCUAAAUAACUGGAGGCAAAGAGUAGUAACAAGAAGGGGGCACCAAUUUCUUAAUAAUGGAAUGUUUAAAACACACUAUAAGAAGAAGAAAGUAUAUAUUACUGCAUCAACAUCAUAGCAAAAUAGAUAUUGGGCAGAAACACAUUGCAUAUUGCCCAUUUUUCUCUUUGAAUAAAUCAAAGGGAUCUAAUCUAAUUACAAAAAAGGAGAUAUAAAUGAUAACUGACAAAACCCUGCCUGAAAGGAAUCUUACAUAUCAGGCAAAACACUGUAUUGGGAUUCAGAUGGUUAUAUAAAUAGAAAAUAAAGUGAAAUCACUUUAUUUCAAGUCCUUCACUGCAAGUCCUUCACAGGGAGCAAUCAUUAUCUCUACUACCUACAUAACCACCAAUUUAACUUCUCUGAAACCCUUGUCCCAACAGGGAAAUCUAACUUCUUCUGGUCAAUCAUGUCCCCUGAUCCACCACCAAAAUAUAAGCUUCAUGAAACCAGAGACAAUAUUUUGCUUAUAAUAAUAUCCCUAGCACUUAAAAUAGUGCCUUGUUUACAGCAGAGGUUGAAGAAGCAUUUACUGAAUUCAAUACAUGAAUGGGUGAGAGAAAGGGAUAAAAGAGAAGAAAGGAAAGAAGAAUCAGAUGAGAAAGCAAGGGACUACUAAUACAGAACUGAGAAAGAAUUUUCUUCUCUGGAAAAGUCUGUACAAGCUGCAGAGUGCUGUGGCAAGUUAAACCCAAUGUUUCCUAGGAUUUUGGUGUUUAUGAAGAAAAAAACAAAACAAAGGGUUUCUCUUUACUGACCCAGAGCAAAUAUUGAAUUUUAAAGUAAAAACUGUAAAAACUUCAGUACAUGUAUGUUCACUCAUUCAAUAAAUGUUUAUAUGCCCACUAGGUUCCACGCACCAACGCUACACACUGGUAAAUGCAGCAGAUAAUGGAGCUAGACAUAUAAAAAGAUUUGGACAUCUUCACCAUCAACAAAAUCACUGAGCAUCCCACUCUGCUUCCUGAUAAAAACUGGUAGUUACUAGCAAGCAAGUCAUGCCUGCAUUCAGACAUGAAAUUCCAUUCUUAUUGGUAUUAUUCAAAUAAAAGAAUUUUUAAAAGAUGACAAAAGCAUAAAAGAAAUGAAAAAAAAAAAAGAUACAAUUAAGAAAGGUAAGAACAACUGAAGUUGUCUGGCCUGGAGAACAAGGCUGAUUUCA